GUGCCAGCCGCCGCGGUAAUACGGAGGAUCCAAGCGUUAUCCGGAAUCAUUGGGUUUAAAGGGUCCGCAGGCGGUCUUUUAAGUCAGAGGUGAAAUCCUACAGCUCAACUGUAGAACUGCCUUUGAUACUGAAAGACUUGAGUUAUUGUGAAGUGGUUAGAAUGUGUGGUGUAGCGGUGAAAUGCAUAGAGAUCACACAGAAUACCGAUUGCGAAGGCAGAUCACUAACAAUAUACUGACGCUCAUGGACGAAAGCGUGGGGAGCGAACAGGAUUAGAUACCCUGGUAGUCCACGCCGUAAACGAUGGAUACUAGCUGUUCGACCUUCGGGUUGAGUGGCUAAGCGAAAGUGAUAAGUAUCCCACUUGGGGAGUACGGUCGCAAGACUGAAACUCAAAGGAAUUGACGGGGGCCCGCACAAGCGGUGGAGCAUGUGGUUUAAUUCGAUGAUACGCGAGGAACCUUACCAGGGCUUAAAUGUAGUGGGACAGGUCUAGAGAUAGACCCUUCUUCGGACUCAUUACAAGGUGCUGCAUGGUUGUCGUCAGCUCGUGCCGUGAGGUGUCAGGUUAAGUCCUAUAACGAGCGCAACCCCUAUCGUUAGUUGCCAGCGGGUAAUGCCGGGAACUCUAACGAAACUGCCGGUGCAGACCGUGAGGAAGGUGGGGAUGACGUCAAAUCAUCACGCCCUUACGUCCUGGGCUACACACGUGCUACAAUGG
rnacentral:rRNA from 1 species